CCUCCCCGCCGGAAGACCAAGGGUUCCUGUCCAACGUUAAUCGGGGCAGGGUAAGUCGACCCCUAAGGCGAGGCCGAAAGGCGUAGUCGAUGGGAAACGGGUUAAUAUUCCCGUACUUCUUACAAUUGCGAUGGGGGGACGGAGAAGGCUAGGUGGGCCUGGCGACGGUUGUCCAGGUUCAAGUGCGUAGGCUUGAGGGUUAGGUAAAUCCGGCUCUCUUUAAGGCUGAGACACGACGUCGAGCACCUACGGGUGUGAAGUCAUUGAUGCCAUGCUUCCAGGAAAAGCCUCUAAGCUUCAGAUUGUAAGGAAUCGUACCCCAAACCGACACAGGUGGUCGGGUAGAGAAUACCAAGGCGCUUGAGAGAACUCGGGUGAAGGAACUAGGCAAAAUGGUACCGUAACUUCGGGAGAAGGUACGCUCUUGAUGGUGAAGUCCCUCGCGGAUGGAGCUGAUGAGAGUCGCAGAUACCAGGUGGCUGCAACUGUUUAUUAAAAACACAGCACUGUGCAAAAUCGUAAGAUGACGUAUACGGUGUGACGCCUGCCCGGUGCCGGAAGGUUAAUUGAUGGGGUUAGCGUAAGCGAAGCUCUUGAUCGAAGCCCCGGUAAACGGCGGCCGUAACUAUAACGGUCCUAAGGUAGCGAAAUUCCUUGUCGGGUAAGUUCCGACCUGCACGAAUGGCGUAAUGAUGGCCACGCUGUCUCCACCCGAGACUCAGUGAAAUUGAAAUCGCUGUGAAGAUGCAGUGUACCCGCGGCUAGACGGAAAGACCCCGUGAACCUUUACUACAGCUUGGCACUGAACAUUGAACCUACAUGUGUAGGAUAGGUGGGAGGCUUUGAAGACGUGACGCUAGUUGCGUUGGAGCCGUCCUUGAAAUACCACCCUUGUAUGUUUGAUGUUCUAACUUAGCCCCGUUAUCCGGGGUGAGGACAGUGCCUGGUGGGUAGUUUGACUGGGGCGGUCUCCUCCCCAAGAGUAACGGAGGAGCACGAAGGUGGGCUAAUCACGGUUGGACAUCGUGAGGUUAGUGCAAUGGCAUAAGCCCGCUUAACUGCGAGAAUGACGGUUCGAGCAGGUGCGAAAGCAGGUCAUAGUGAUCCGGUGGUUCUGUAUGGAAGGGCCAUCGCUCAACGGAUAAAAGGUACUCCGGGGAUAACAGGCUGAUACCGCCCAAGAGUUCAUAUCGACGGCGGUGUUUGGCACCUCGAUGUCGGCUCAUCACAUCCUGGGGCUGAAGUCGGUCCCAAGGGUAUGGCUGUUCGCCAUUUAAAGUGGUACGCGAGCUGGGUUUAGAACGUCGUGAGACAGUUCGGUCCCUAUCUGCCGUGGGCGUUGGAAGAUUGAAGGGGGCUGCUCCUAGUACGAGAGGACCGGAGUGGACGACCCUCUGGUGUUCGGGUUGUGUCGCCAGACGCAUGGCCCGGUAGCUAAGUUCGGAAUCGAUAACCGCUGAAAGCAUCUAAGCGGGAAGCGAGCCCUGAGAUGAGUCUUCCCUGAUACUUUAAGUAUCCUAAAGGGUUGU
rnacentral:rRNA from 1 species